GGGCCCGUAGCUCAGCCCGGUUAGAGCGCAUCCCUGAUAAGGAUGAGGUCGGUGGUUCGAGUCCACCCGGGCCCACAA
rnacentral:tRNA from 1 species